AGCCUUCUGUAUCCAUGCUGAGAUUUCGUCACACACCAGACCACAAGGGCUGAUGAGACUCCAUAGACACACUCAACU
rnacentral:pre_miRNA from 1 species